CCUACGGGAGGCAGCAGUGAGGAAUAUUGGUCAAUGGGCGUAAGUCUGAACCAGCCAAGCCGCGUGAGGGAUGAAGGUUCUAUGGAUUGUAAACCUCUUUUAUAAGGGAAUAAAGUGCGGGACGUGUCCCGUUCUGUAUGUACCUUAUGAAUAAGGAUCGGCUAACUCCGUGCCAGCAGCCGCGGUAAUACGGAGGAUCCGAGCGUUAUCCGGAUUUAUUGGGUUUAAAGGGUGCGUAGGCGGCCUUUUAAGUCAGCGGUGAAAGUCUGUGGCUCAACCAUAGAAUUGCCGUUGAAACUGGGAGGCUUGAGUAUGUUUGAGGCAGGCGGAAUGUAUGGUGUAGCGGUGAAAUGCUUAGAGAUCACACAGAACCCCGAUUGCGAAGGCAGCUUGCCAAGCCAUGACUGACGCUGAUGCACGAAAGCGUGGGGAUCAAACAGGAUUAGAUACCCCAGUAGUC
rnacentral:rRNA from 1 species